rnacentral:rRNA from 1 species
UACGUAGGGUGCGAGCGUUAAUCGGAAUUACUGGGCGUAAAGCGUGCGCAGGCGGUGAUGUAAGACCGAUGUGAAAUCCCCGGGCUUAACCUGGGAACUGCAUUGGUGACUGCAUUGCUGGAGUAUGGCAGAGGGGGGGGGUGGAAUUCCGCGUGUAGCAGUGAAAUGCGUAGAGAUGCGGAGGAACACCGAUGGCGAAGGCAGCUCCUGGGCCACACUGACGCUCAUGCACGAAAGCGUGGGAGCAAACAGG